rnacentral:rRNA from 1 species
UAGGGAAUCUUCGGCAAUGGGGGGAACCCUGACCGAGCAACGCCGCGUGAGUGAAGAAGGUUUUCGGAUCGUAAAGCUCUUUUGACAAGGAAGAAUGAGUGCGAGAAUGGAACGUUCAUGCUGAGCCGGUACUUAACCAGAAAGGGAUGGCUAACUACGUGCCAGCAGCCGCGGUAAUACGUAGGUCCCGAUCGUUGUCCGGAUUUAUUGGGCGUAAAGCGAGCGCAGGCGGUUAGAAAAGUCUGAAGUGAAAGGCAGUAGCUCAACCAUUGUAGGCUUAGGAAACUGUUUAACAUGAGUGCAGAGAGGGAGAGUGGCAUUCCAUGUGUAGCGUUUAUAUGCGUAGAUAUAUGGAGGAACACCGGUGGCGAAAGCGGCUCUCUGGUCUGUAACUGACGCUGAGGCUCGAAAGCGUGGGGAGCGAACAGG